rnacentral:rRNA from 1 species
GGAAUCUUCCACAAUGGACGCAAGUCUGAUGGAGCAACGCCGCGUGAGUGAAGGAGGUCUUCGGAUCGUAAAACUCUGUUGUUAGAGAAGAACACGAGUGAGAGUAACUGUUCAUUCGAUGACGGUAUCUAACCAGCAAGUCACGGCUAACUACGUGUCCAG